rfam:Clostridium sp. CAG:75 genomic scaffold, scf456
UGAGUAGCACAGACAAUCGCGGCUGCAAGUGCCGAAAGGCCGCAGGUGCAAAUGCCGAAAGGCUGCAGGUGAGGAAAGUCCGGGCUUCAUAGGGCAGGAUGCCGGAUAACGUCCGGUGGAGGCGACUCCCAGGCAAGUGCAACAGAAAAUAACCGCCUUUAUAGGUAAGGGUGAAACGGCGAGGUAAGAGCUCACCGCAUUUUUGGUAACAAAAAUGGCAGAUGUAAACCCCAUCCGAAGCAAGACCGAACAGGGAUGAUACGGCGGCCCGUCGUGUUCCGGGUAGGUUGCUUGAACCUGUUGGCAACAGCAGGUCUAGAUAGAUGAUUGUCAAAUACAGAACUCGGCUUAUCGUGCUGCUCAUUAU